CGAUUUUUUUUAUCAUGAUUAUAAAAAAUUGCCGGGAUAGCUCAGU
rnacentral:tRNA from 1 species